ACGGCUCAGUAACACGUAGUUAAUCUGCCCUCGGGACGAGAAUAACCCUGGGAAACUGGGGGUAAUUCUCGAUAGGCGCAGUGGCCUGGAAUGGUACCGCACCCAAAAGACUUUAGGAACAUGCUCCUGGAGUCGCCCAAGGAUGAGACUGCGGCCGAUCAGGUUGUUGGUGGGGUAACGGCCUACCAAGCCUAUAACCGGUACGGGCCCUGAGAGGGGGAGCCCGGAGAUGGGAACUGAGACAAGGUCCCAGGUCCUACGGGGCGCAGCAGGCGCGAAAACUCCACAAUGCGCGAAAGCGUGAUGGGGUUAACCCGAGUGCCGUCCGAUGAGGAUGGCUUUUCUUCAGUUUAAGGAUCUGGAGGAAUAAAGGGGGGGCAAGACUGGUGUCAGCCGCCGCGGUAAUACCAGCCCCCUGAGUGGUAGGGACGAUUAUUUGGCCUAAAGCGUCCGUAGCCUGUUUGGGAAGUCUUUCGUUAAAUCCGACGAUUCCAUCGUUGGGACGCGGAAGAUACUGCCAGACUUGAGGACGGGAGAGGUCGACGGUAGUCCUAGGGUAGGGGUGAAAUCCUAUAAUCCUAGGAGGACCACCAGUGGCGAAGGCGGUCGACUAGAACGUGCCUGACGGUGAUGGACGAAAGCUGGGGCACGAACCGGAUUAGAUACCCGGGUAGUCCUAGCCGUAAACGAUACUCGCUAGGUGUCGGCCACGGUGCGACCGUGGUCGGUGCCGUAGGGAAGCCGUGAAGCGAGCCACCUGGGAAGUACGGCCGCAAGGCUGAAACUUAAAGGAAUUGGCGGGGGAG
rnacentral:rRNA from 1 species